rnacentral:rRNA from 1 species
UACAGAGGUCUCAAGCGUUGUUCGGAUUCACUGGGCGUAAAGGGUGCGUAGGCGGUCGGGUAAGUCUGACGUGAAAUCUCCAAGCUCAACUUGGAAAUGGCGUCGGAUACUAUUCGGCUCGAGGAAUGGAGGGGAGACUGGAAUUCUCGGUGUAGCAGUGAAAUGCGUAGAUAUCGAGAGGAACACCAGUGGCGAAGGCGAGUCUCUGGACAUUUCCUGACGCUGAGGCACGAAAGCCAGGGGAGCAAACGGG